rnacentral:rRNA from 1 species
GAGUAACCGCGUGGGUAACCUGCCUCAUAACACAUGGAUAACAUACCGAAAGGUAUGCUAAUACAGGAUAACAUAAGAGAUUCACAUAGAUUUUUUAUCAAAGGCUCCGGGCGGUAUGAGAUGGACCCGCGUCUGAGUUAGCUAGGUUGGUAAGGUAACGGCUUACCAAGGGCGACGAUCAGUACGCCGACCUGAGAGGGUGAUCGGCCACAUUGGAACUGAGACACGGUCCAAACUCCUACGGGAGGCAGCAGUGGGGAAUAUUGCACAAUGGGCGAAAGCCUGAUGCAAGCAACGCCGCGUGAGUGUAUGAAGGGCCUUCGGGUCGUAAAACUCUGUCCUCAAGGUAAGAUAAUGACGGUACUUGAGGAGGAAGCCCCGGCUAACUACGUGCCAGCAGCAGC